GAUGAACGCUGGCGGCGUGCCUAAUACAUGCAAGUCGAGCGAACGGACGAGAAGCUUGCUUCUCUGAUGUUAGCGGCGGACGUGUGAGUAACACGUGGAUAACCUACCUAUAAUACUGGGAUCACUUCGGGAAACCGGAGCUAAUACCGGAUGAUAUUUUGAACCGCAUGGUUCAAAAGUGAAAGACGGUCUUGCUGUCACUUAUAGAUGGAUCCGCGCUGCAUUAGCUAGUUGGUAAGGUAACGGCUUACCAAGGCAACGAUGCAUAGCCGACCUGAGAGGGUGAUCGGCCACACUGGAACUGAGACACGGUCCAGACUCCUACGGGAGGCAGCAGUAGGGAAUCUUCCGCAAUGGGCGAAAGCCUGACGGAGCAACGCCGCGUGAGCGAUGAAGGUCUUCGGAUCGUAAAACUCUGUUAUUAGGGAAGAACAUAUGUGUAAGUAACUGUUGACAUCUUGACGGUACCUAAUCAGAAAGCCACGGCUAACUACGUG
rnacentral:rRNA from 1 species